rnacentral:lncRNA from 13 species
ACCCUCUUGGUCUCCGGGUAGCACAUCCUGGGCCGGGGUGAGCUCCUGCUGCAUUCCUGCUGCCAGGUGGGCCGCAUCCCAGCCCCAGACCACGGCUUGCACCUCAGCCUGACCCUCCGAAACCACAGCAGGCCUCAUUCGCCUGAUUUCUCCGGGGAGCUGGAGGGCCCCUGGCUACACUGAAGGACGCCUACCUGGAGGUGAUGCUGCAGCCCCUGGAGGAGGUGUGGCAGGAGCCGGCUGAGGAGGCCAUGUGGUGGCUGCAGACCUGGGUACCUGGAAUGCCAGGCAACGGGGGUCCCAGGCUCAUCAGGCUGGCCAUGGGGGCCGUGAAAGGCGCCCUGGAGCUGGUGGCCCACCAGAUGCUGUCCUGGGCUGAGGCCACAUUCUCACGGGCACUGAAGAGGCUCUGCAAACCCCUGCUGGACCUGUAUGACCUCGCAGCCAGGAACUACUCAGUGGUGGUGACGUUGCCACUGCUGCCUUGGGGGGAUGAGUCCCUGGACAUGGCCCGGGUGACCAGCUACCUGGUGGAGGAGAAGCUGCUGCGGCCGCUCCGAGAGCUGUCAAGGGCCAACAUGCUGGCCGAGUUCUUCUGGCUCAGACGCCACCUGCUGCCAGGUCCCUGGGAGUGCAUAUCUGCUGGCCUUCUGGGCACCAACGACAAUGAAGCAGGCAAUGAGCUGAUGUUGCUGGAUGGCUCUGUGGCCCACAGCCUGGAGGAACUCAGCCUGGCCUGGCAGGUGGAUGGUGACUGCAGGGCCACUGAGAAGACUCAGCAGGCCUGCCCAGGACAGAGUCCCACCUGCUUGGCCUUCUUCCAGGACCCCCAAUCCAGCUUGGGGAACUGCUUCCGGGUGGUGGACCCUGCACCAUUCCUCAGCCUGUGUGUGCAGGACCCCUGUGGCACCUGGGAGCUCCAGCCUGCCUGCACUCUGGUGGCCGCCUACAUCCACCUGUGUGCCCACAGCUUUGUGCCCCUGGCCCCUCCUCCACAGUGUGCGGCAGAGUAUCUGCAAGGGAGACCACAUUUUGCUCUCUGA